rnacentral:rRNA from 1 species
AUGAGCAGCCCCCGCCGCCGCCACUGCCGCCGCUCGCCGGCGGCGUCCCCGCUGGAGGACGACGACCUGCUCUCCGAGAUCCUGCUCCGCCUCCCCCCGCAGCCCUCCGCCCUCCCGCGCGCAUCGGCCGUCUGCAGGCGCUGGCGCGGCCUCGUCUCCGACCCCCGAUUCCGGCGCCGCUUCCGCCUCCGCCACCGCCGCAACCCUCCUCUCCUCGGCUUCUUCAACCGAUUCGAUCGCCUCUCCUUCCAGCCCACUCUGGAUGCCCCCGACCGUGUCCCUCUCGGGCCCUUCCCCUUUCAGCGCGAUGACGGCGACUACUUCGUCUCCCUCGGAUGCCGCCAUGGCCUCCUACUCGUUUUCCUUCCGGGGAUUCUCGAGGUCCUUGUGUGGGACCCCGUCGCCGGCGACCGGCACCGGGUGGCCAUUCCCCCGGUGGUCGCGGAACGUGCGGCGGAGAUUGGGGUCGGCGGGGCGGUGUAUCGCCCUCCGGGAGACGUCCAACAUUUCCAGGUGGUCUUGGCGGUGACAGACGGCCACGGCGCACAACCUAGACGAGCGCUCGCCUGCGUUUACUCGUCAAAGACCGGCGUAUGGGGAAGUCUCAUCUCGACACCGCUCCCAUACCAGGCUCAUGGAUCUCAGUUUUCCGCCAUCGUUUGUGCCGAGGACGCUGCGCUGGCUGGAGAUUCCCUUUACUGGCCGCUUGCCGGGAAAUUGAAUGGAAUUCUCGAGUUUGAUCUGGAGAAGCAGAGGCUAGCUGUGAUACGGGUGCCGGUGCAUAUGUGGGGCGAGCGGGAGCGGAAUGGCUUCAAGCUUGUGCGGGCAGAGGGUGGUGUGCUAGGUUUCCUCUUCAUAUCACACUCAGACUGCUGUGCCCCACAGUUAUGGAAGAGGAUAACUGGUUGUGAUGGUGUUGCUUCAUGGGUGCUUGCAAGAACUAUUCAACUGGACAAGCUACUUUCCCUGAAACCAGAGGAGAAAGGGGGCAUAGAGAUGGUAGGGUUUGCUCAAGACAAUAAUGUGUUGUUGUUGCGAACGGUUAUCGGCCUCUUCAUGAUCCAUCUUGAGUCACUGAAGUUCAAGAGGCUUUCCAACACUACGACCGUUUCUCGCUAUUUUCCAUUCGAAAGUGUCUACACUGCAGUAACAGGCAUUGGUGGUAGACAUGAUGCAUCUGAUGUUAUGCACAAUAAAUAA